GCGGCUAUAAGUGAAAUUAGGCAUUAAGCUUAAAACCUAGGCAAUAAGCUAUUGCCUAGGCAGUAAGUCUAUUGCCUAAAUGAUGUUAGGUAUUAGUCUUAAAUCCUAGGAUUUAAGCUCAAAUCCUGAAAAAUGUGUGCAGGCAUUAAGCUUAAUGCCUAAAAUAUAAAUACAAGUAUAUAACAGAAAUUUAUUCAAUUAAAU
rnacentral:lncRNA from 1 species